rnacentral:rRNA from 1 species
UACGUAGGGGGCGAGCGUUGUCCGGAUUCAUUGGGCGUAAAGCGCGCGCAGGCGGCUUCGUAAGUCGGCCGUGAAAUCUCCGGGCUUAACUCGGAGGGGUCGGGCGAGACUGCGAGGCUCGAGGCGGGUAGAGGGCAGUGGAAUUCCGGGUGUAGUGGUGGAAUGCGUAGAGAUCCGGAGGAACACCAGUGGCGAAGGCGGCUGCCUGGAGCUUUGCUGACGCUGAUGCGCGAAAGCGUGGGGAGCGAUCCGG